AGCGAACGCUGGCGGCAGGCUUAACACAUGCAAGUCGAGCGGGCCCUUCGGGGUCAGCGGCGGACGGGUGAGUAACGCGUGGGAACGUGCCUUCUGGUCUGGAAUAACCCUGGGAAACUAGGGCUAAUACCGGAUACGCCCUUUUGGGGAAAGGUUUACUGCCGGAAGAUCGGCCUGCGUCUGAUUAGCUAGUUGGUGGGGUAACGGCCUACCAAGGCGACGAUCAGUAGCUGGUCUGAGAGGAUGAUCAGCCACACUGGGACUGAGACACGGCCCAGACUCCUACGGGAGGCAGCAGUGGGGAAUAUUGGACAAUGGGCGCAAGCCUGAUCCAGCCAUGCCGCGUGAGUGAUGAAGGCCUUAGGGUUGUAAAGCUCUUUUAUCCGGGACGAUAAUGACGGUACCGGAGGAAUAAGCCCCGGCUAACUUCGUG
rnacentral:rRNA from 1 species